CUCGUGUCGUGAGAUGUUGGGUUAAGUCCCGCAACGAGCGCAACCCUCGCCUUCAGUUGCCAGCAUUUAGUUGGGCACUCUGGAGGAACCGCCGGUGAUAAGCCGGAGGAAGGUGGGGAUGACGUCAAGUCCUCAUGGCCCUUACGGGAUGGGCUACACACGUGCUACAAUGGCGGUGACAAUGGGUUAAUCCCCAAAAACCGUCUCAGUUCGGAUUGGGGUCUGCAACUCGACCCCAUGAAGUUGGAAUCGCUAGUAAUCGCGUAACAGCAUGACGCGGUGAAUACGUUCCCGGGCCUU
rnacentral:rRNA from 1 species